rnacentral:rRNA from 1 species
UACAGAGGGUGCGAGCGUUGUCCGGAAUCACUGGGCGUAAAGGGCACGUAGGUGGUUGGGUAAGCGUGUGGUGAAAGCCCGGGGCUCAACCCCGGGUCGGCCAUGCGAACUGCCCGACUGGAGCACGGUAGAGGCCAAUGGAAUUCCGGGUGUAGCGGUGGAAUGCGUAGAGAUCCGGAAGAACACCGGUGGCGAAGGCGGUUGGCUGGGCCGUGGCUGACACUGAGGCGCGACAGCGUGGGGAGCAAACAGG